ACUCCUGCGGGAGGCAGCAGUGGGGAAUUUUGGACAAUGGGCGAAAGCCUGAUCCAGCAAUGCCGCGUGAGUGAAGAAGGCCUUCGGGUUGUAAAGCUCUUUUGUCAGGGAAGAAACGGUGAAAGCUAAUAUCUUUUGCUAAUGACGGUACCUGAAGAAUAAGCACCGGCUAACUACGUGCCAGCAGCCGCGGUAAUACGUAGGGUGCAAGCGUUAAUCGGAAUUACUGGGCGUAAAGCGUGCGCAGGCGGUUUUGUAAGUCUGAUGUGAAAUCCCCGGGCUCAACCUGGGAAUUGCAUUGGAGACUGCAAGGCUAGAAUCUGGCAGAGGGGGGUAGAAUUCCACGUGUAGCAGUGAAAUGCGUAGAUAUGUGGAGGAACACCGAUGGCGAAGGCAGCCCCCUGGGUCAAGAUUGACGCUCAUGCACGAAAGCGUGGGGAGCAAACAGGAUUAGAAACCCUUGUAGUCCCAUGA
rnacentral:rRNA from 1 species